UGCCUCGGGAGAGUAAGUUCGGGUUGUUUCUUUCAUCCACUAAACAUCAUCCCAUCACUCCUCUGGUUUUUAUCCAUCAAUCUGUAACCCAACACCCAAACAGUUGAAAAUAAAAGAAAUCAAAGUUAACUUCAAAAAUUGAAAAACCAAAACGGAAAAUAACUAAAACUGAAACAAUGAAACAAAAACUAAAACAAUGAAAA
rnacentral:lncRNA from 1 species